rnacentral:lncRNA from 1 species
UGCCUAUAAUCUCAAGAAACAUCUGAUGUCAUGAGGAAAUAAUAAAUGCAUGAAGAAUAUGGAAGGAAUUAAGAGUCCACGUUGAAAUGGACUCUUCCAAUUUCAACGCCAAAAAAAGAGGGCAUCCCACAUUAAUUUUGGUAUAGAGUUUCUUCCAAGAGAAGGAAUCCACUCCCUCUUCCACAUCUCGCAUCUCAAGGCAUCAUCUGAUGGUGCACAAAAAUAAAGGGAUACGUGGAAGAUGUAAGAGAAUUAAGAGGAGUGGAAGAGA